rnacentral:rRNA from 1 species
ACGAACGCUGGCGGCGUGCUUAACACAUGCAAGUCGAGCGGUAAGGCCCUUUCGGGGGUACACGAGCGGCGAACGGGUGAGUAACACGUGGGUGACCUGCCCUCAGCUCUGGGAUAAGCCUGGGAAACCGGGUCUAAUACUGGAUAUGACUCCAUGACGCAUGUUGUGGGGUGGAAAGCCUUGUGCGGCUGAGGAUGGGCCCGCGGCCUAUCAGCUUGUUGGUGGGGUGANGGCCUACCAAGGCGACGAC